rnacentral:tRNA from 1 species
GCCCAGGUGGCGGAAUUGGUAGACGCGCUAGCUUCAGGUGCUAGUGUACUUAUGUAUGUGGGAGUUCGAGUCUCCCCCUGGGCACCA